rnacentral:rRNA from 1 species
UACGAACGCUGGCGGCGUGGAUAAGACAUGCAAGUCGAGCGCUCUAUUCAUUGUAGCAAUACAGUGGAUGUGGAGCGGCGCAGGGGUGCGUAACACGUGGGUAAUUUGCCGUGAAGUUGGGGAUAACUCGCUGAAAGGCGAGCUAAUACCGGAUGUGGUUACUGGGUGGCAUCACCUGGUAACUAAAGCUGGGGAUCGUAAGACCUGGCGCUUCAUGAUAAGCCCGCGGCCUAUCAGCUAGUUGGUGAGGUAACGGCUCACCAAGGCUAAGACGGGUAGCUGGUCUGAGAGGACGACCAGCCACACUGGAACUGAGACACGGUCCAGACACCUACGGGUGGCAGCAGUCGAGAAUUUUUCUCAAUGGGCGCAAGCCUGAAGGAGCGACGCCGCGUGGGGGAUGAAGGGUUUCGAUCCGUAAACCCCUGUCAUUUGUGAACAAUGGUUAUUAUUUAAAAGAUGAUGACUUGAUAGUAAUGAAAGAGGAAGGGACGGCUAACUCUGUGC